rnacentral:pre_miRNA from 1 species
AUUUUUCUUGCCAAUUCCUCCCAUUCCAAUGGUUUCAUGAGGUUACUCCUUUUCCUAUCAUAUCCUUGUAACCCAACACCCCCAUAACGUGUUCGACAGAGAGAGAGGGAAAGGGAGAUAGAUCUAGAUGAAGUUGUUUGGAUGGGUGAUUUGGAAAGAAAAGU